UAGCAGCCUUAAUGAUGAUUUUCAAUGUUUAGAUUCUUUUGAGUUGUGCAAUCCCUCUCAGGGAUCCUGAGGGAUCAAGGUCCUACUCUUCAAAAACACAUUGAGUUACACAGUGUAACAGGAUGCCAAUGAAGUCAUAGUUCCAAUAGAAAAGAAUGUACAGACCUACUGUCAGACUAAUGCUUGACUGCAAUUGAAAACAUGUAUUUGGCUUACCAGGUGAAUGUAAGAAUUUGCAGGACUUAGAUCUUUCUGAAUGCCAGGGACUAAACGAGCUUUCCCAGUUUGCAGUAUCUGAGUUUAGCUCCCUGCAGAAAAUUCACAGACAAAGGUUUACAGUACCU